GAGAGUCAGUUGGAUAUAUUUCUGGAAUGCAAUAUAUCUGCUACAGCUUCCAUGGGCAAACUGUGUCUUGCUGACGAUGACUGCGACACAGAAAACGCGGUUUGUAGUAUGAGGGAAGAUUAUGGACGCUGUGUAUGCAAAGAAGGGCACCGUGUUGACGGUAGUCGUCGAAAAUGCAUCAAAGUAAAUGUUUUUCUUGGGGGACAGUGCGAGAAAAAUGAAAACUGUGGACAAAUGAAUACACGGUGCCACAAUAAUAGAUGCACAUGUGCAGAUGGAUAUUUUGAAUCUAAUGGAUUUUG